rnacentral:rRNA from 1 species
AGUCUGCAACUCGACUCCAUGAAGUCGGAAUCGCUAGUAAUCGCGGAUCAGAAUGCCGCGGUGAAUACGUUCCCGGGCCUUGUACACACCGCCCGUCACACCAUGGGAGUUUGUUGCACCAGAAGUAGGUAGUCUAACCGCAAGGAGGACGCUUACCACGGUGUGGCAGA